GACCUCAAAUCAGGUAGGAACACCCGCUGAACUUAAGCAUAUCAAUAAGCGGAGGAAAAGAAAAUAACAAUGAUUCCCCUAGUAACUGCGAGUGAAGAGGGACAAGCUCAAAUUUUAAAUCUAUCGGGUUUUACCUGAUCGAGUUGUAAUUUGAAGAGGCGUUUUCUGUGUUUCUGAUCAGUCCAAGUCCUUUGGGAUAAGGCAUCAUGGAGGGUGAGAAUCCCGUCCGGUUGAUCAUUGCGUUUUACGAUACGCUUUCUAAGAGUCAAGUUGUUUGGGAUUGCAGCUUAAAAUGGGAGGUAAAUUUCUCCUAAGGCUAAAUAACGGCGAGAGACCGAUAGCGAACAAGUACCGUGAGGGAAAGAUGAAAAGAACUUUGAAAAGAGAGUUAAACAGUACGUGAAAUUGUUGAAAGGGAAACGAUUGAAGCCAGUCGUACCUUCGGGUAAUCAGCCUUUCGGGUGCGAUUAUGUGGAGUGUGAGGAGCUUAAACACCUUCAUGUUUUGCAUAUUCGUACUCUUGGGUGUACUUGCCCGUGUGGUUGGUUAACAUCAAUUUUGGUGGUCAUAAAAUGACUGGAGGAAUGUAGCUUCGAUCUCGUAUUGAAGUGUUAUAGCCUUCGGUAGAUGUGAUGAUCGAGAUUGAGGAUUGCAACGGAUACCCUUCGGGGCUACCUGUCUGGUCUCUGAUCGUUGCUCUGGUGCCGAAAGCUUGCUUACGGUAAUCAAAGUCGAUGGUCAAUAGGUUAGAACGGGUUAAAUUCGUUAAGGAUGUUGACGUAAUGGCUUUAAACGACCCGUCUUGAAACACGGACCA
rnacentral:rRNA from 1 species